AGCGGAGGAAAAGAAACCAACAGGGAUUGCCUUAGUAACGGCGAGUGAAGCGGCAAAAGCUCAAAUUUGAAAUCUGGCACCUUCGGUGUCCGAGUUGUAAUUUGAAGAAGGUAACUUUGGAGUUGGCUCUUGUCUAUGUUCCUUGGAACAGGACGUCACAGAGGGUGAGAAUCCCGUGCGAUGAGAUGCCCAAUUCUAUGUAAAGUGCUUUCGAAGAGUCGAGUUGUUUGGGAAUGCAGCUCUAAGUGGGUGGUAAAUUCCAUCUAAAGCUAAAUAUUGGCGAGAGACCGAUAGCGAACAAGUACAGUGAUGGAAAGAUGAAAAGAACUUUGAAAAGAGAGUGAAAAAGUACGUGAAAUUGUUGAAAGGGAAGGGCUUGAGAUCAGACUUGGUAUUUUGCGAUCCUUUCCUUCUUGGUUGGGUUCCUCGCAGCUUACUGGGCCAGCAUCGGUUUGGAUGGUAGGAUAAUGACUAAGGAAUGUGGCUCUACUUCGGUGGAGUGUUAUAGCCUUGGUUGAUACUGCCUGUCUAGACCGAGGACUGCGUCUUUUGACUAGGAUGU
rnacentral:rRNA from 1 species